CCAGAGGAAAAUGUGGAGGACCAUCGUUGUCCAGAAGGGAGGAAAGUAGGCUGAUAUUCCUAUUGCAGGACCGUUUGAAGACUGAGAGUUUCUAGGCAAAUUCUUUCCUGAGCUGCAGCUGGUGUGGCAAGACCUCUGUAGUUUGGAACUACAGCCAUGAGAUAAUCAACUUGUUGCUGUCACUCUGAUAAGUGAUUUCUGUUUUGUGAGUCAGUACCCGAGACAGGUUGUGUGAUUUACUUAGAGAAAGAGAAAAAGGAGAUGGGAAAGC